rnacentral:rRNA from 1 species
GAUGAACGCUAGCGGCAGGCCUAAUACAUGCAAGUCGAACGGUGUCUUCGGACAUAGUGGCGCACGGGUGCGUAACACGUAUGCAACCUACCUUACAUUGGGGGAUAGCCUUUCGAAAGGGAGAUUAAUACCGCAUAAGACAGUAGCUGGGCAUCCAGCAGCUGUUAAAGAUUUAUCGAUGUAAGCUGGGCAUGCGUCCAAUUAGCUAGUUGGUGAGGUAACGGCUCACCAAGGCAAUGAUUGGUAGGGGAACUGAGAGGUCAAUCCCCCACACUGGCACUGAGAUACGGGCCAGACUCCUACGGGAGGCAGCAGUAGGGAAGAUUGGGCAAUGGACGCAAGUCUGACCCAUCCAUGCCGCGUGCAGGAUGAAGGCGUUAUGCGUUGUAAACUGCUUUUAUACAGGAAGAAACGACUCUUGCGAGAGGCAUUGACGGUACUGUAUGAAUAAGCACCUGCUAACUCCGUGCCAGCAGCCGCGGUAACAC